UUUAUGGAGAGUUUGAUCCUGGCUCAGGAUGAACGCUGGCGGCGUGCCUAAUACAUGCAAGUCGAGCGAACGGACGAGAAGCUUGCUUCUCUGAUGUUAGCGGCGGACGGGUGAGUAACACGUGGAUAACCUACCUAUAAGACUGGGAUAACUUCGGGAAACCGGAGCUAAUACCGGAUAAUAUUUUGAACCGCAUGGUUCAAAAGUGAAAGACGGUCUUGCUGUCACUUAUAGAUGGAUCCGCGCUGCAUUAGCUAGUUGGUAAGGUAACGGCUUACCAAGGCAACGAUGCAUAGCCGACCUGAGAGGGUGAUCGGCCACACUGGAACUGAGACACGGUCCAGACUCCUACGGGAGGCAGCAGUAGGGAAUCUUCCGCAAUGGGCGAAAGCCUGACGGAGCAACGCCGCGUGAGUGAUGAAGGUCUUCGGAUCGUAAAACUCUGUUAUUAGGGAAGAACAUAUGUGUAAGUAACUGUGCACAUCUUGACGGUACCUAAUCAGAAAGCCACGGCUAACUACGUGCCAGCAGCCGCGGUAAUACGUAGGUGGCAAGCGUUAUCCGGAAUUAUUGGGCGUAAAGCGCGCGUAGGCGGUUUUUUAAGUCUGAUGUGAAAGCCCACGGC
rnacentral:rRNA from 1 species